UUUCUUCUCCCCUUUAUAGUGAGUCCUUGGCUGAGGCUUCUCCUUUUCUAGGGCAUCUUGUAAAUGGAUAAGCUUACCGAAGUUGAAAGUUCUCCACUAUGGCCUCUCUAAUUCAAGAUUAUCUUUGAUAAGUUUAACCUGCUAGUUCAGCCUUAAAACACAAUUUUUUUCACCUGAGGCCUCAUACUGGCUCGCUCCGGCUCAAGUCAGAUCCAGGCGUGAGCCUUUCUACGUCAGACCAAUCAGCCUCCAUCAGGUUUCCGGACCCAGGCCAGAAAAAGGAAGGCUCAGAUGGUCGGAAAGCUCGCGAGGCAAGAGCUGCGGGUCCAGGAUCCAGGACCGCGAGGACUUGCCCAGCACCUCCAGAGGCAGCGAGAAAACAGCCAGCUCCAGGGACUCAGCAGGGAAACUCAAGAUUUAUAGUAAAUGAAUGACAGCAGUUCAAGAAUCACUUCCUCCUGUGGUACCUUCCGGAGGACGAAGGUAAAAAUCACCCAGAUACAGGGGUUAUUGAUGAGGUGUUCAGAGCCUCAGCAUCAGUGGCGACCACAGAGGAGCUGAGGACUUAAGAUCUUAUGGGAAAGAUAAGAUUUGUCAUCGCUUCCCAUUUUCAAGUGCUCCUGAGUACCAUGUGCAUUGGGGAACUGAAAAAGGAGCCUGUCUGUACUUGAGAGCGGGCCCCUCCAACACUGCGGUCAGCUCACACGUGGUUUGCGGUGUUCAGCUUUCGACGGGAAUGUGGCUGGUCUCUCUGGAGGUUGGGAGACACCAUGCUGAGAAACAAGAUGACACCAGCCGAAGAAAUCUACACAGGAUGGAUCCUCUAAGGUAUGAAGGUGAAACUGCCCAUUUUGUUCCCUGCUCUAUCUACAGUCAGACAUCAGAACAGCUCCUGGUUCCCAGUAAGCACUAAAUAGGAGCUGGACAGAAGUUUGUAUUACAGGCUCGUAGCACUGGAGGUUUCUGCCGGAGCAGACAACUUGACGAAGGCCGGCCCUGCUGAACACAAUGGACGGAUCGGGUCUGGACCCCUCCUCCACAGGUGCAGACUUCAUCUUGGACAAGCAUCACUAUAUGGAUUGGCAUUUGAGAGGAAAAAAUACAUUGAGUGCUCCGGAACUCCUAAAAGUAAGCUCCACUGGCCUCCAAGGCCAGACGUCCUGAAGGCUCAUCUUCCUGGUGCAGAUCCCUCACUCCCUGGGGACAAGCUCUGCAACUGUAGCUAUUCUCCCAUUUGUGAAUCACCCACCUGGGGGUAUACUGCGACUCUGCCUCUCCUACCCAUCUCACUGUGGCUCCUCCUUUACAUCCUUAGUUGUAGAAGAUCUUUUGCUGUCUGAGACUUGGUGUACACUGAAGAAUGAUCAACUGCAACCAAGAAUCCUUGUCAACAACUGGCUGUGAUUAGUUGAAAUUCUCUGAUUCGAAGGCCUAGCAUUAAAAAGAUCCACCAGAUAGGAUGACGAUACGUUUCAAAGCAUCAAUGUCUAAAACUGCUCUUGGUUUACAAAUCUUCUAAGUAUCAUUUGAAAGCAUAAAAACAUCACUGAGACCAAAUGUGUGUUUGUUACACGUCUGCAUUUCUGCAUCUUCCUAGUCCUUUGAUAUUUGCUCUGGUUUCCCCUGCCCCCCACAAGCCUGAGGUGUGAGGUUAAAGACCUUUCUUUCUGUUAGUCCAGAGAAUUUAGUACAUGAGUUCUAGGAUUCUAAGUAUUCUAAAACAUUGCAUAAUCCAUGUUAUCUUAGUUAAAGAGAGAUGAUACCAAAUAAAAGAAUUCCUUAUAUUUGUGUAAUCAUUUUCUCUUACAGUAAGAUGCAAAGAAAAGAUAAAUAUUAUCAUGAAAUUAUUAGUUUUAAUCAACCCCGACCUCACAGACCUGAUUCCUCUACUUUCCAUUUUCUCCCUUAUUGCCUUUUUUUUUUUUUUUUUGGCCGUGUCUUGUGCCUUGUGCAGAGUCCUAACCGCUGGACCACCAGGGAAGUCCCCUUACUGCUUUUUUAUAUUUAUCAUUUUUAUAGCACGUAUCUCACUGCAUCUCAAUUAUCUGUUUACACAUCCACCUCUUCCAUUCGACGGUGGGUUCAUUGAUGGCAGGAACUACAAGCUAUUCAUCUCCACCUUCCAGUCCUCAGCUGAGGGCCUGGCGUACCGUAGGGCAUAUAACAUGGUCAUUACAUGGGAAAAUAAUGGAGUUAGAUCAGAUGAACUCCUUUGUCCUUAGAGCUCUAAUAGUCUAAGCCCUUAUUUCUAGUAUAUCUCUGCAGAAGAAUAGUCCCUAAAAGGUCCCAUUAUUCAACAGGAAAUACUGAGAUAAAUAAUAGGGUUGCAGGGAAUUCCCUGGAAGUCCAGUUGUUAGGACUUCGCAGGUUUGAUCCCCGGUCAGGGAACUAAGAUCCUGCAUGCCUCUCACUGCGAGGCCAAAAAAAAAUAGGGUGGCAUAAAAGGGAAAAGAAGCAAAAGACACUGCCCAUUUCACUCCAACUCUGCAGAGUCACUGCAGGGGCUGUUCUGCUUUUAAAGAGCCAGCAAACUUGUUACUACACAGAAUAUCAUUUCUACGUGGAGCCAUCAGGAAAGUUCUGGGAGUUAAGCAUGACCAACGCUCUCUCUUCCUUUUCAUGGAUGUACAUACGAAUGGGGUUCCUUUCUUUUCUUGGUGGAGAUAAACAAUGAUGGAAAGGAGGCUAAAAACAAGAAAAUAUUAGCUUGCCAUUCAAGUGUACUGACAAUCCCUACACGUACCUAAACGUACACAUGUGCGCGGGCACACGCGCACACAGCCCCAUCUAAGGGAGAGAUUAUUCCACAAGGAUCAAUAACACUGUCUGGUUAUCACGUCUUAGAGCCACGGGAUAUUUUUAGAGCCAGACAUUUCUUAGCAAGAGAGAAAAUUCCAUGGAAGCCCCCCACAUGUCCUUCUCCUUUUUGUGUUCAGGAUACAGCUGGUUCCAAACUCUAAGGGAAAAACGGAGUUGACAGUUGGACCUAGGGGAUCGGUGGGGAGCUGAAGCCCCAAACGAUUAUGACAAAUACACUAUUUACAAGGAAAAAAAUAUGUAUGUAUAUAAAAAGAUUGUGCAAUAUAAUCGCAUCACCACAAAGCAAACGCCACUUACUAAGAUGAUCGGAAACAGCGGGGAACACAACAGUGCUGUAGGAGAAACGCUGUCAACUCUAUAUAAAUACAUUUGGCAGAAGAUAAAUCAAACAAGAAGAGACUCCAUUUGGCUGGGAACGUUAGUUAAAAUUAGCGUUCAAAUAGUAGUGUGGCUAAAAUCAAUCCAAAAGCAAACCCACUGAGCUCCCCACCGUGUCUCUUCAUCAAAAACGGGGUUACCACUUGGGCUCUACACCCUUCCUUUUAACUUUGUGUCUUGCUACUGUGUAAUUUGCAUUUGGGCUUUCGUGGGUUGUAGAGUAAUAUGAUUUUUAAAUUCUUGGAUGACUCUAUAAACGUUAAGCAUACAACCACAUAGAGAUUUAACUAACAUACGAUUCUGUGUUAUUUAAAUAUCUGUUUUAGUUCAGAGAAGAGGGGUCUCUAUGAAAAGGUUGAAAAAAGAUGUCUUUAUGCCUUUUUUUUUACCCCAAGGUUAUGGUGGCAGAGCCAGAGUCUGAGUGUGUGAAGCAAAUUUGUGCUUUUCAAGUUAUAUAUUUUAACUGCAACUCUUGUCUCCUUUCUUAUAUUUG